rnacentral:rRNA from 1 species
UACAGAGGGGGCAAGCGUUGUUCGGAAUUACUGGGCGUAAAGGGCGCGUAGGCGGCCUUCUAAGUCGAACGUGAAAUCCCCGGGCUCGAACCCGGGAACUGCGUCCGAUACUGGAAGGCUUGAAUCCGGGAGAGGGAUGCGGAAUUCCAGGUGUAGCGGUGAAAUACGUAGAUAUCUGGAGGAACACCGGUGGCGAAGGCGGCAUCCUGGACCGGCAUUGACGCGUGAGGCGCGAA